rnacentral:rRNA from 1 species
AUUGAACGCUGGCGGCAGGCCUAACACAUGCAAGUCGAGCGGAUGAAGGGAGCUUGCUCCUGGAUUCAGCGGCGGACGGGUGAGUAAUGCCUAGGAAUCUGCCUGGUAGUGGGGGAUAACGUCCGGAAACGGGCGCUAAUACCGCAUACGUCCUGAGGGAGAAAGUGGGGGAUCUUCGGACCUCACGCUAUCAGAUGAGCCUAGGUCGGAUUAGCUAGUUGGUGGGGUAAAGGCCUACCAAGGCGACGAUCCGUAACUGGUCUGAGAGGAUGAUCAGUCACACUGGAACUGAGACACGGUCCAGACUCCUACGGGAGGCAGCAGUGGGGAAUAUUGGACAAUGGGCGAAAGCCUGAUCCAGCCAUGCCGCGUGUGUGAAGAAGGUCUUCGGAUUGUAAAGCACUUUAAGUUGGGAGGAAGGGCAGUAAGUUAAUACCUUGCUGUUUGA